CAAUAGCGUAUAUUUAAGUUGUUGCAGUUAAAAAGCUCGUAGUUGGAUUUCGGGUGGGGCCUGCCGGUCCGUCUUUGAGAUGUGCACUGGCAGAUUCCAUCUUGUUGUCGGGGACUAGCUCCUGGGCUUCACUGUCCCGGGACUAGGAGCUGACGAAGUUACUUUGAGUAAAUUAGAGUGUUCAAAGCAAGCCUACGCUCUGAAUAUAUUAGCAUGGAAUAACACGAUAGGACUCUGGCUUAUCUUGUUGGUCUGUGAGACCAGAGUAAUGAUUAAGAGGGACAGUCGGGGACAUUCGUAUUUCAUUGUCAGAGGUGAAAUUCUUGGAUUUAUGAAAGACGAACUUCUGCGAAAGCAUUUGUCAAGGAUGUUUNCAUUAA
rnacentral:rRNA from 1 species